AUUGAACGCUGGCGGCAGGCCUAACACAUGCAAGUCGAGCGGAUGAAGGGAGCUUGCUCCUGGAUUCAGCGGCGGACGGGUGAGUAAUGCCUAGGAAUCUGCCUGGUAGUGGGGGAUAACGUCCGGAAACGGGCGCUAAUACCGCAUACGUCCUGAGGGUGAAAGUGGGGGUUCUUCGGACCUCACGCUAUCAGAUGAGCCUAGGUCGGAUUAGCUAGUUGGGGGGGUAAAGGCCUACCAAGGCGACGAUCCGUAACUGGUCUGAGAGGAUGAUCAGUCACACUGGAACUGGGACACGGUCCAGACUCCUACGGGAGGCAGCAGUGGGGAAUAUUGGACAAUGGGCGAAAGCCUGAUCCAGCCAUGCCGCGUGUGUGAAGAAGGUCUUCGGAUUGUAAAGCACUUUAAGUUGGGAGGAAGGGCAGUAAGUUAAUACCUUGCUGUUUUGACGGUACCAAAAGAAUAAGCACCGGCUAACUUCGUG
rnacentral:rRNA from 1 species